GACGAACGCUGGCGGCGUGCCUAACACAUGCAAGUCGAACGGAAAGGCCCUGCUUGCAGGGUACUCGAGUGGCGAACGGGUGAGUAACACGUGGGUGAUCUGCCCUGCACUUCGGGAUAAGCCUGGGAAACUGGGUCUAAUACCGGAUAGGAGCCAUUUUUAGUGUGAUGGUUGGAAAGUUUUUUCGGUGUAGGAUGAGCUCGCGGCCUAUCAGCUUGUUGGUGGGGUAAUGGCCUACCAAGGCGGCGACGGGUAGCCGGCCUGAGAGGGUGGACGGCCACAUUGGGACUGAGAUACGGCCCAGACUCCUACGGGAGGCAGCAGUGGGGAAUAUUGCACAAUGGGCGCAAGCCUGAUGCAGCGACGCCGCGUGGGGGAUGACGGCCUUCGGGUUGUAAACUCCUUUCGCUAGGGACGAAGCUUUUUGUGACGGUACCUAGAUAAGAAGCACCGGCUAACUACGUG
rnacentral:rRNA from 1 species